UACGUAGGGGGCAAGCGUUGUCCGGAAUCAUUGGGCGUAAAGAGCGCGUAGGCGGCCAGGUAGGUCUGCUGUGAAAACUCGAGGCUUAACCUCGAGCUGUCGGCGGAAACCAUCUGGCUAGAGUCCGGAAGAGGAGAAUGGAAUUCCCGGUGUAGCGGUGAAAUGCGCAGAUAUCGGGAAGAACACCCGUGGCGAAGGCGGUUCUCUGGGACGGUACUGACGCUGAGACGCGAAAGCGUGGGGAGCGAACAGG
rnacentral:rRNA from 1 species